CAAUGUGAAUAUUGUUUUAGUAGUGUUACCUAUUAUUUUCUUUAGUAGGUGCAACAUUUUACCCUCUUCCUCAUCACCCAAAACAAGUGUUAAACCCUUAUUCAUACAGGCUGCAUUACCUAGUUUUUACACUCAUAUAUUUAUAGCUUCUAAAAUUCUCUUCAGCUUUAAAUCUUCCUAAAUUCAUGGUUAGUAUUUUUUAAAUUUGAACCAUGCAUAGAUUUUUGGGCUACAUAUAAAAAUUGGAACUUAGAAAAAAUGGCAAAUUAAGAGGAAUUGUUCAGUUUGUAAACAAGAUACUUUACAAAAGGUUUGAGUCCUUUUUAAUAACAAAUUUCCCUUAUGAUUCAAAUUUACAAAAAUUUAAUUUAGGUAUGACUUUUUAGGGGUACAGAUUAUUUAAAGUGGAGUAUGCUGAAAGAUAUCAAAAACAGUUUCUCUCCUCAAAAUAAGUGAAGUAGGCUGAAGUUUGAAAAUAAUUCCUGUGAAAGAGAUAAACUCCUGGCAAUAAAAUACAAGUCUGCUGUUAGAUGAAAAUAAAUGCGGUGAUUCAGAUACUGUACCAUUUCAAAAGGUUCAAAGGCCUGAGCUUCUGGGUUAUCCAAGGUGAAAAAAGUCAUGAAAAUCCAAAGAAAGAUAAAGACUGAAUGUGAUAUACUGUGCACUCAAGACUGUUUCUUCAGAAUCAUGGUACCUUAAGAGCAACUUUUCAUGCAAUUUCCUUAAUAUCAAUUCACAGCAUGUACUUUAACUUCUCCACAGAAACCAAGGGCAUUAUUCUCUGGUCAUAC
rnacentral:lncRNA from 1 species